GUCUACAGCCUUGCCACCUUGAACAAGCCCGAUCUCUUCUGAUCUUGGAAGCUAAGCAGGGUCAGGUCUGGUUAGUACUUGGAAGGGAGACCACCUAGGAAGACCAGGUGCUGUAGGCG
rnacentral:rRNA from 1 species